rnacentral:rRNA from 1 species
GGGUGUGAUCAUACCAGUGUUAAUGCACCGGAUCCCAUCAAAACUCCGAAAUUAAGCGCGCCUUGGCUAGAGUAAUACUGGGAUGGGUGACCUCCCAGGAAGUCCUAGUGUUGCACCCU